GUUUUGCAGUCUGAUGGUUGUUCUUCAAACAAUAGCAGGGCUGUUAGCUCAGGAGAGGAAGUGCUAGAGUUGUUAACCAGCAUUGUUUGCUCAGAUUAUACAUUCCUAGACUUAAAAGAAUUUCCCCAUUGGUUAACCUAUUUACUUCUGAGUCCAGUUUAAAAUGCUGGUGCUUCACUUUAAAGCCUUAGACAGCUUGAGAUGCAAGUACCUUCUCUCAUCAGCAUCUUAAAAAGCAGAGAAAAUCACCUUGCCAACGAAGGUCCGUAUAGUUAAAGCCAUGGUUUUCCCGGUAGUGAUGUAUGGAAGUGAGAGCUGGACCAUAAAGAAGGUUGAUCGCCGAAGAAUUGAUGCUUUUGAAUUAUGGUGCUGGAGGAGACUCUUGAGAGUCCCAUGGACUGCAAGAAGACCAAACCUAUCCAUUCUGAAGGAAAUCAGCCCUGGAAGGACAGAUCCUGAAGCUGAGGCGCCAAUACUUCGGCCACCUCAUGAGAAGAGAAGACUCCCUGGAAAAGACCCUGAUGUUGGGAAAGAUUGAGGGCACAAGGAGAAGGGGACGACAGAGGAUGAGAUGGUUGGACAGUGUUCUCGAAGCCACAAACAUGAGUCUGACCAAACUGCGGGAGGCAGUGGAAGACAGGAGUGCCUGGCGUGCUCUGGUCCAUGGGGUCACGAAGAGUCGGACACGACUAAACAACUCAACAAAACAACCUUCUCUCAUACCAAGUGGAUGCUCUUCUCCAAAGAGUAGUGGAGGUAUGCCUCCUGGUAUCAGCAUCCUUGCUGGGGUUUUUUUUAGGCAUCUUGCGAAAACUUUUCUUUAUUCACCCAGGCAAUUUAAAACAUUUUUACUUUCUUGGGUCUUUAUUUCUGCUUUUUUUCUGCUUGCUGUUUUGAGUGAAUUUCUUAUUUUCUAUUUUUGUAUAUCUUCUUGAAAUCUUUGAUAAAAAGGAGAAUACACAUGGUUUAAAUUAUUAAAUGGAGCUGCCAGCUUCUUAGACAACUGUCAUGACUUGUGACUCUUGAAUAUAAUCUUUCUUAUCCGGCAUAACACAAUUGGAUUAAUUGUUCAUGUAUACAAAGGCUGUUAUUUUCAACAUUAACCCAAACUUUGCCUUAACCAGCAGUGAAAGUGAAUUUUGACGUUGCGUAUGGAGUACUACAUCCUUUAGCAGUGACAUAAUAUACUUUUUGAACGUAAACCUUUCUGACAAUUUUUAUGGACUGUGUUCAAAGAGUGGCCAGGUUUGCACCUAAUGAGAAGCCAGAGUUAAACCAAACAAUGACUUAACAGGGAACAAACAAAUGGGUCUGGUGCAUGCUGCUCAAAUCCUGCUUCUCCCCAUCCCUGUCUUCACCAUGCUGGGUGGAAACAAGCAAGAAUAACCCAAAGAUGAACCAUGGUUUUUCUCCUGGGGUGGUACUAGGGGUAUAGAGGCAUGAUUACACCAAGCAGCUUAUACCAGCAUAUUUGUAAAUUCCUGGUUAAGCCAUUAUUUAAGACUGGCAUGCGUUUAUGUGCGAGCCAGGACAACAUGUCAAGAAAGUUCACUGCUGCAUUGCUUAUAGGACAUGGGCCCGGUCCAUCAUUGUGUUAGGAUAUGCUGCAGUUGUUCAGUUUGGGGAGGAGGAGGAGGGGAGAGUCAGAGACUCUCUGUACAUGGGCAGAGAUGCUUCUCUUUAUAAUGUGUUAUUACUUGGUGAAAGGGGGGGUAUAGCCAGGGGCAGACCUUGGUAAUAUGCCACCCUGUGGAAAAGUGGCAGGAGGACUCCAUGGCCAUGCCAGUGCCCUCAGACCCUCACUUCCCGAAGCAGGGCAAGUGCUUACGGGAUUUUGAGAAGGCUCUCUUCUUGGCUGCACACCCGGUAUGACUGCACUGCUCACCCUGCCCCCAACAGAGCCAAAGAUCAGCACAGUAAGGCUGUUUGCACCACAAGGGCUAAGACCCUGAGAUAUUCAUGAAGCAGACCAUUAUGUUCAGAAGCAAUUGCUUGUUCACCCUCUUGGUUUAUCUGCUCAUAUUUUCAGAUUUGUGGUAGUUUCGGUUAAAUGUACGGCUCAGAUACGUUGUAAUGUUUGGAUGGAAUCCUUUAGGAGGGAAAUGCUCCUCCCCACCCCCAUCUCAGGUGGGGGUUUUUUGGUAACAUGUGAACUUGCAGGGGAAUAUAGUUUGAUACAUCCCAGCACAUAUGCCUCUUGGUACCCAGUCACGGACUACACCCAUCAGCAAAUCCUUUGCUCAAUGUGAUUUUAAGCAGCCCCACCUCCUGCAAGGCCUCUCCAUCACCCUGGCAGAUAAGGCUAACGGCAGUCUUUCUGUGUACCCCUUUUCGCCCCAAUCCAUUUCCCCCCAACCUUUGCAAGCAUGCUUUCUUUUCCUGUUAUCCAAGGGAGGGGAAGCAAAAAAGAGAGAAGAACAACUGUAUAAAAAUGUUAAUUUAUUAAUCAUUGCCUAUAUAGCAGUUCAUCUGAAAUGCUGUUGCUAUGCCAACACCCUGGGAGUUUAUUUUCUUAAUCCAAGUGAGGAGCUCCCGGUCUCUUGGCCCCCUGCUGUGUCAUUUGAAUAUGGUGGUGCUGCUGCUGCCGCCACCACUGCUGUAAGGGGGGGCGGGAAGAGAGGGAGAGGGAGGGAAAGAGAUGGGGGGGGGGAGAGAAGGAGGAAAAGGAGGCUAAACCACCAAAGCAGUCAAAUGCAAAGCAGUAAGAGGCCUUUCUCAGUACGACUUAGUAAAAAUGACACAAAUUAAUAUACUCUACUUAAACCAGACCAAGAUUAAUGGUUCUCUAUCAGAGCUGCUUAGUCCAACUGUCACUCGGCAAGCACGCGUCGGACAAAAUCAACACUAAUCAACAUUUAUUCCUCUCUUGCCCUUGGGUCCGAGGAGGGAGAGAGGGCUGCGGCGUUCUCCCGCUUGUCUCGCCACGCUUUUCACCCUCUAUCCAGCUUUGCCAUAUAUCACCCUUCCUCGCUGUGCCUCUCCUUGUACAGAUCCACACACUCAGCUAUCAGACAACAUUAGAGGCAUGAUAGAUUUUCUGUUUUAAUUUACAUCUAUUAUAUUACAACAUAACAGUUCUUGAUUCAGGGGAGGCUAGUGUCUCCUAUAGAUGGCCUCAACGGGAGGAUUUCUGCAUUAACUUAUUAGGGCUGGUUAGAAUGGGCUUUCAAAUAGACUCCCCGCCCCCCACCCCUGCCUCUCUCAUGCUCUUCCUUGCAUGGUCAGUGAAGACACUUUGCUGCUGCCGCCCGUCCAGGAGUACUUGGACUGGUAUGCAUUGCUUUUCUUCACGAAGCUGGAUGUUGUGCUUCGGCUGCCUUUUUAAAGGAGCACAGUGCCGAAGUGGAAUUUGACACAUGCAAAAGCGCAUAUUAAUAUCAGGGGAAAUAAUUUAAGAGGGUUGUGUGCAGGUCCUGGGGAAGUUCCUGGUGCCGUGUGCCCAAUGGCACUUCCUGAGGCUUACUUUUUACUUCAUCACUGUGUUUAUCUAGAUUGAUAGCCCACCCAUUUUAGCGUUUUUAGCCCCUCCCCCCUGGAUCAUUCCAGCACCCCCCCGGGGGGCGGUAUCACCCACUUCGGGAAACACUGAUCUAAAUCAUAUCUGUGGUUUUAUUGAUACUUUCAUCCUUUUUACAGUGAAUUGUUUUUUGCUUUGACUGUAAGUUACCUGAAAUAUAUAUAUUGUAGAAACACAGUGUAUAAAUUUAAAAACUAAAUACAGUAACUACUAAACCAGCAACUAAUAAAUCAAGCACAGAACGCUCCCCAGCUGAGUAAGCAAGGCCCUGCUAGGAACAGACUAUUUUUCUAAAUGCCAAAUGGGGUUUUUCUGGCUUUCUGAGAUUUCAUUGACGGCCUUACUGGUAUUUGCCCAAGGUGGAAUACAAACCUAAAAGUACCUUAAGAUAACCAGAAUUUCGCACAACCGUAAUAAUAAUUCAUGCUGGCAGCAAAGCAUAAUCAUAAGCAGCAAUGAAAAAAACAAUUUAGAAGAUUUGAGAAAAGAUGGAUUUUUAUUUUGUUUAUUUUUACUAGCUUGGCAUACAGGAAUUUGCCUUUCCCAUUUUGCCCCCUCCCCUCUGGUUUGGGUAGGAGAUUUUGGCUAUUUUGCAGGUUCUGGCUGAAGGGGUGCUGGCCAAUCAAACCUGACUUUUUCAAAAAGAAGAGUUUGCCAAUACCCAUUUUUGCCAAGGGGUAGUACAUAUACAAAAGACACAGCUUGCGUGCUUCUGUGUGUAGGGGUCUACAAAAUGGGUACCACAACAGAGAAGACCAUGCCUUACCUAUUAGAUGCUCUCAGCUCAUGUGUGUUGGCGGCACGCACAGCGAACUUUUCGUGUGAAGGUUAAGUAUGUUGGAUUUAGUGGACUCCUAGGACACAAACCUGUGAGUUAGACCUGUGGAAGAUCCCAACAGUGAUCUUCUGCAGCUCCCAUUUGUUUCAAUAGGACUCCCAUUGAAUCCUGCCUUUUAUCUCUCUCCCCGCCACCCACCCCUGACAGAGUUCAAUGAUAGAGCCACACUGUAUGCCCAAGUGAACAUGUUAGGUAAUUUAUAGCAUGUUUGGAGGGAAGCUGGUAACUUGCAUGUAAAUUUUGUAUUCAGCAUUAAAGUAAGUGAUGCCUACUCAAACUUUGAGCUUAAUAUAAUCACACUUU
rnacentral:lncRNA from 1 species